rnacentral:rRNA from 1 species
AAAUUGAAGAGUUUGAUCAUGGCUCAGAUUGAACGCUGGCGGCAGGCCUAACACAUGCAAGUCGAACGGUAACAGGAAGCAGCUUGCUGCUUUGCUGACGAGUGGCGGACGGGUGAGUAAUGUCUGGGAAACUGCCUGAUGGAGGGGGAUAACUACUGGAAACGGUGGCUAAUACCGCAUAACGUCGCAAGACCAAAGAGGGGGACCUUCGGGCCUCUUGCCAUCAGAUGUGCCCAGAUGGGAUUAGCUUGUUGGUGAGGUAACGGCUCACCAAGGCGACGAUCCCUAGCUGGUCUGAGAGGAUGACCAGCCACACUGGAACUGAGACACGGUCCAGACUCCUACGGGAGGCAGCAGUGGGGAAUAUUGCACAAUGGGCGCAAGCCUGAUGCAGCCAUGCCGCGUGUAUGAAGAAGGC